AACGAACGCUGGCGGCGUGCUUAACACAUGCAAGUCGAACGGUAAGGCCCUUCGGGGUACACGAGUGGCGAACGGGUGAGUAACACGUGGGUGAUCUGCCCUGCACUUCGGGAUAAGCCUGGGAAACUGGGUCUAAUACCGGAUAGGACCACUGCCUGCAUGGGUGGUGGUGGAAAGCUUUUGCGGUGUGGGAUGGGCCCGCGGCCUGUCAGCUUGGUGGUGGGGUGAUGGCCUGCCAAGGCGACGACGGGUAGCCGGCCUGAGAGGGUGACCGGCCACACUGGGACUGAGAUACGGCCCAGACUCCUACGGGAGGCAGCAGUGGGGAAUAUUGCACAAUGGGCGCAAGCCUGAUGCAGCGACGCCGCGUGAGGGAUGACGGCCUUCGGGUUGUAAACCUCUUUCAGCACCGGCGAAGCGCAAGUGACGGUAGGUGCAGAAGAAGGACCGGCCAACUACGUGCCAGCCGCCGCAGUAA
rnacentral:rRNA from 1 species